GAACGCAGAGGCGAACGAGCUCAGAAAGUCAGUUAGAGAAGAGUUUUUAACCGCGCUGCCCAGUCACUCCGUACGGAGAGGCCAAGAGGCACCUACCUGCCUAGCUAGCCAACUACCUAGCAAGCUAUCAACCUACCUACCAACCAACCAACCAACCUACCUGUCGUGUUGGCCACGUUUGUGGCGAUCCGAUCAGUGCACCGUCAGCCAGCGACGCGCACACACCGAACAACUGAACACCGCACACCUGGAAAGCAGCUGGAAACCCUAUCAGCAGAAGUGUUAGAUAAACUGAUAAUGCUACGGAGCCAACAAAACCACUAACGUGGCGUUAAAUCUACUAACUAAAAACACACUCACACACACACCCAUAAAACGGCAAAAACAGGCGAACGAACGAACGAAAAAAAACAGUAAAGACAAUAACCCAAGUAAAACAAAAAACGAGUCAGCGGCAAAGUGUCAAUAAAACUCUCGAAUUCAUUAACACAACUCAAAACGUUCUAUUAGUAAGCACUUGCAAAUUUCAACCAAACCAACGAAAAAAAAACCGAAAAAAAGCGGAGGAAAAGCUAAAAAACGGAUCGAGAGAUGAAAGAGGAGAGGGGAGCUGGCACAAAUUAGCGUGGCCAACAGUCAAAAGGUCUAAUAGAAGCGCGUGUAUGCGAGUAGAUAGGCCCGCAUGUACCUCGCCUUCACCCGAAAGCCAAGAUCGUAAAAACUACAUCAACUUCAACUACAACAAAUGCUCGGGGUAAAAAAAAAAAAACGCCACAAAAAACGAGACGAGGCUGCUGCCAUGUCCUUGGCCUGUAAAAGGGCAGUGAAAUUCCUGGCACUCCAUAACAACAUCAUCAAAGGCAGCAGAGCGACUGCGACUCCAACUUCGAUACCGAGUCCGAUUCCAAGUUCGAUUCCGAUUCCGAUUCCCAGGAGUCCUUUCAGCGGAACCGCGAUGCCGGAGUGCACAGAAUUACAGAAAUUCAGAGCUCCCCGCCGACUGGAAGACAAAUGCCAUGGACUCGGUUACAAUUUGGACUCGUCUUGUCAAUCAGUUGGGAGGCGAGCGGCUGGCUAGAACUGGAAAUGGCCAAGGAUGACCGGUGAGCGCUUCCUGUUCGGGUAAGUUGAUACUUGGACUAAACUGGGGCUUAAUUAGCCACACGACACAAGACCGAAAGCCCUCAAAAAAGACCCCGACCUGUGAUGACCUUUAGACUCGACGACGACGGCGACUAAUUUAUCAAAGUGUAGAGAAAAACUGAAAUAACUCCGCGCAUAAUUAAAGCAAGCCAAAAAAUCGAAAAAAAAAACAGCAAGCCAAAACCGAAAGAUAGCCACAAAUGCGUUUUUAAACCGUUGCGCAACGCCUCUUUCUAACAGUUUAAAUUUUUUUUAAGGGGUUUUCGAGACCGCUCUUUUGUUGUUUUGCUUGGAUUUUUCCUUUGGUUAAUUGCCGCUUAUUAAUCUCGGCUCAGUUAAUGGUCCAACAAACGAAAUUCUAAUUAAUGAAAUAUUUUUUCGGCCUCUUGCUUGCAUUGUCUAGGCAUUCCGACUUCCUGGAACUGUAAUCAAUCAUAAGCCAAGAUUCCGAGGGUCGAGAUCCCACCAACUGGUGGCUGGUGUUUCUAGCCAAGUAAGCCAACUUGAGUGUGUUGACAAAUUUGUGAGUUGCCGGGCAGAUUGACAGGAAAAUUGAGUAAUCAAUCAUGGGCUAUCAAACGAAUCCGCCGCCAAAAAAGCCUUCAAAAGGUCUGUUGAGUUCAGUUAGUUAGUUAGAGCCUCAAAAAUCAGGUCUUAUCAACCGAUGAUGCACGUCUGGGCCAUUAGUUAAAUGCUAAUGCCAGUUCACAAAAUCACGUUGGUCGAGAAUGUUGACAAAAUCUGGCAAGGGGCGAGUUGAAUCAGGUUGAAUCAGGUUUGCCUUUAUUUUUAGUCGCCGUAUCUCGCAUGCGAUUGAAAUGAAAUAUAAAAUUACAUUAAAUUACCGGAUGUAAUUGCGGUGGUCGUGCCAGUCGACUCUCUCAGCCUGGUCAAUGAAUCACGGCCCGGCGCACACGAAAUACGAAAUACGAAAUACGAAAAACGAAAUGCGUCGAAACAAAAGACUCAGGCAACGAACUCGACGAACCUCAAGUCGAGUAAGCCAGAUUCGAGCACCCAGCAACGAGCACUUAUGUCCAAAUCAGGGAGAGCAGCGCAACCCACACAGAAAGGUAACCAACUAAAAUAAAAAAAAAAAAAAACAAGAAAGGAAAAAAGCGUAGAAAGACCCACACAAAAAGCCGAGUUGAGUGGUAUCUUAUCAGGGCUAACGAUUUUGUCAAAUGACAAUUUUCUCGUCCUCAUUGAAUGCCUCUUUUUCACGCCAUCCGCUGACUUUUCUAUGGGCCAUUUAGUUGUCAAUUAUUUUUGAUAGGCCAGGCUCAGUCGGCUGAUAAGAACCUGCACACGAGACUUGUUUAACCAACGAAGUGGGGGAAAAUCGAAAGGGGGUAACAGAGGAUCCCAAUCGGAUGCAGCCACUGCCGCUCUCCGUUUUGGCCACAUUUGCAUAUUGAACGGCAGUUUGUCUUGAGCCUGAGCUUUUAGUUAUGGCCGAGCAUUAAAUUUAACUAUUAAGCCAUUUUCGGAGGCCAGUUUUGUGGAGCUCGACUUUCCAAACAUUGUCCCCUGACAGUUGCUCCCUAUGGGAGUUUUUUCUUUUUGCAGCAUCAGCAGCAGCGGAAUUUAUGAGGCAAACAGACACAGAAAGAUAGACAGAAUGAUUAACAAGAAAUGGAGAGGCAUGGGAACCUUGGAUUUGGCAAACAGAAAAGGCCAAAAGCCCAGUCGAUGGCGAAGUGAAAUGUUCAGUGUUUUAUUGGCUUAUGGUCGAGUAAAAGGAGAAGAAAUGCCAAUGCAAAUGUAGGAUUUAUUUCGCAAAUCAAAUGGAAAAGUUGCCACAUCGAAUGGCAGAUUUAGUGCGGCAGUUGCAACUUGCGGCCCAGCAAUUGCAAGAGCCGACUUAAUUUUAUCAUAAAAAUGCGAAUUACCCGCCAGAUGAAAUUCACAUCUUGCAACUCAAUCAAGGGGCAUGCAACGGAGGCUGCUGCUGACCUAUAUAUGGCUAAUAAGAACCGACAUGUACAUACCUUCGUACAUUCAAAGGAAUGCUUGUGGCAAGAGCAUACAGAUAUCCUCGUUACAUAUUCCCCAUAUUGAUAUCUCCGCCUCCUGCGUUUCGGGUUCGUGCAACAAUUUCGUUGUUCGUCGAAAACAAUUUUACGGAGCACGAAACUCCGAGAGGGGAAAGAUCAGCAGCAAAUGAGAAACGAAAUUUUUGCAGUGCAUAAAAGUGUAUGCCACGCACGUAGAAGCCAAAACCAAAGCAAACGAAACGGCAACAAUCAGACAAUCAUGCCAUCAAUAUAUGGCAAUUAUCAAUGAAAUUUAUAACAAUCCACGAAAUGUAACGAAAACUUAACCGACCAAUAAAAAUUUCAUAUUUCUUUUUUUUUUUUUGAAAAAGGAGCGCUGCAGCUCGUCUUCCUCGUAACGUAAGGAAAAAAGCUUAAGGAAAAAAAGAAAAAUAAAUAAAAGCCAGAAACAUGAUCAUGAUGUGGCCAAUGUUGCUGUUUUAGCCCCGUUCGCUUCGCCUUGUGAUCUGCAUCAUAAAAACGUGCCAGAUUGAUGCGUGAUUGAAAUGCCAAUUGGUUUCCAGUUGGACUCGGUUCGGACUGUCUCGUUCUGGUUGGAUUGGAGCGAGCAUCCAGUGUGCGUGCCGUUACCGUUACCCUUCCCAAUCUGCAUUGUCAUCUUGGACAAUUAGAACAACCGGAGAUCCCAAAGAUACAUUUAUUUUCUGUCUAUCUGUCUGUUUUUUUUUUUUGUUUGGAGUAACGUAAGAAAAGAAAAGUGGGAGGAAAGAGUUUGACUGGCAGUAUUUCCCAAAGAUCUGCGCGUGGAGAGUAAAAUCAAUCCGCUAGAUAAACAGUUAGAGCCACGGCCAAAAGGGGCGGCUGGCGAAAGGGGGAAAGGGGGCGGGGAAGGGGUUUCCGUUGACCGCUUACCGUUGGGAGAGGUUUUGUCGCCAUGACCAUGACUUGUGGUCUCCGCAAGUGGGUCACAAGCUCUGUCGAGGGUUACCUCCGUUUGCCGACGGGAUUCGUAACGUGGCUUUAACGGAAGCGGGAGUCGCAUUACCCAUUUCAGUUCGAUUGUAUCUGCUGCCCCAGUGAUUUGGCCAUUGUGCUUGCCUUUGGUUUUGACCAAAAUUAAUUGCUCUUGAAACUGUUUUGACAGCCUCAACUUGAUCUAAACUUCGAAAUACUGGUUCAGCAGGAGGUUUAAAGACGAUAACAAAUUGGUAAGCUUAUGACACUAUAUCGUAAAUUGUUGUCAUAUUUCAAUCCGUAAUUGAUACUAAAAUAAAGCUGUAAAAAUAAAUAGCUUCCAGUUUGAUUACCAAAUUGUUUUCGGAAUUUCAAUAAGAAUAAACGUAUAAUGUUCUUACUGAUAUACAUAAAUAAUGAUUGCUGAUUAUAUACAUACUAUAUAACAUAAAUAUGUUCAUAUGGAGUGGUAUUUUAUAAGCUGUUUCUUAACUACAGAUCAUAAAAUAUUUUUAUUGGACCUAUGAAUAUUCGCAUGAUGCAGAUUAUUUUACAACCGUUAUUAUUGAAAUAUGGAAAUAUUGCACUUAAUAUUUAUUGUGAGUUAUGAGUUUUAUUAGCAAGUAGAGUGGCACCUAUUCGUCUUGCUGGCACUCCAUAAAUAUGCAUGUGGCAAAGUCUCGCGAUGGCCUGCUGUCGCAGCUGGCUGAUGAAUGGAGUCUGGUGGCGCCACCGGGAACAGCAGAACUAUCAAACUCCUCCGGAUGGCUGGCCAUCUAGGGCAACUUGAUCCCCCAGUCGAUCAGAGCUCAGAGCACAGAACUCGAAAUCGUUGUGGCAAUAUCAAUGCAAUAAAAUCUGCGACUGCAGCCAACAGUAUCGCAAUCUGCGAUGAACAGCUUCUUUUUCCUUUUAUUUCUCUGCAACUUCCUCUCUUAUCGCUGGCAACAAAUUGACCAUUUCAAUUAAUGGAACGCACUUAAAGCACUAAAGACUCUUGCUGGCCGUCGUUGCCACUCAAGUGUUGGCGCUAAUGAACACGGCGAGUCGUAAAGGCCAACACCAAGUUCGUCCUCUGGUUUUUUUUUUUAUUAUCAAGCCGCUCCUUUUGGCCGCGUCCCGCUCACAUUUGCAUAUUUUGUUGUCGAGAUUAAGCGCGUAAAUUUGUCGUUAAAAAUCAUGUUUGAGAUCGGCCACAAAGACACACGCGAUUGCCCACAAAACAAACACAAAAAAAAAGACAAAUAAAUAAAUAAAAAAAAUAAGAGGCAUGAGGAAAAUUGGAAACACAGGCAGCUGCUGUUGAUUUUUAACUGUUUCGCUUCGAGUUUGUUUCUCGUAUUUUGAUUGCGGGCCACUCGAUUUGAUUGAUGGCUGUCGCCUCACGGCGCAUGCGCGGCAUGUCUAUGCCACUGACGUACUGAUUUACCGUUGCCUGAUAAGCGGCCGACCAAAAACAAAAAAGUCGAGAGCCGAAAAAACGAGUGGCAAUUACCUCAAGUGGAGCAGCAUUUGGCAUUUGCAUAAAUUGGCCUAAAACAAAAAGAAAAAAACCCCGUAAAAACGUUGGAAAAAAGCUAAGCCAAAUGAAACGAAACGAGACGGGCAAUGAAAUCGGAGCUUUCUUCGUGACUGGCGACGUUUUCCCAGCGAUCCGAGCGGAGUCCCAGUCCCAGUCGAGAGUGCCCCCAUAAUGAGGGUCCCAGGGGUCACAGAUGUCCAGAGCAAUUGGACGUUACAAUUUGUUUGGCCAACGACAAGUCAAUUUGGGGUUACUCGCCCUCAGGGGUUAUUAUCUAAAUCUGCUUCCUUUUCAACUUGGUUUCUCGAUUACCAAAUAUAAAUUAAUAUAUGAAGGGAAAUCUUACAUGAAAAUGCAUAUAAAUUCAGUAUAAAUCUCUCACUUACCUGAAGGUUCAUAUCUUUCUCAGCAUAUUAAUAUUAUAAUAUAUACCUCCUCUUA